CUGGGUUUUUGUCUGGAAAGGCGGGGCUUCUCUUGGCUUGAUCAACAGUACUUGGCAGGGUUAGACUCAGUAUCCUUUAAGGGGGGAGUCUUGGGCGUGUGCAUGUAUUUUCCUAUUUUACGUGAACUUGUCAGUGGGGCUCUGUGAAAAGAUUAACUGCUUCUCGAUCGGCAUCCCUAUGGAUGAUCUUUUAUCUACGGGACGCUGCUGCGUCUGACCGUCUGACAUUUUCAUAUGAAUAUGUGAUGAAGCAAAAACUGAACACAAACAAAGCUGUUAUCGUACGGCCGCCUCAGGAAUUCCAAACGAUCGAACCAAAAAUAUAAAUUACCUGGAUUAUGAAUGGAACGAUAGGCCUUAACGGUUUCGGAACUCAGUUUGCUUGACUGUUAACGGUUUAUCCGUCCACGGUCAGUUUACUACUAAUGACAACGAAACACCACGGCAAAUGCGAGGAGAAGAGGAAAAUCUCGGAAGAUUCACAAGGAGAAAACAAGAAAGCUAACGGUAAAACUAGUGCGGAAGAAUUUUCGUGAAAAGUGACGGACCGUGAUGAACAUUGAACAGACUACCGGUGAUGGAGACAAAUGCUGCUCUUUCAGCAGAGAUUGCGCCGAUCACGAAACCGUGACCGACUCUGCGUUUACUGUCUCCUUUGACGCCCGUAUAGAUGCAUUGCAUGUAACUUAACAACGGAACCUGAGAUUCAUGUGCGACCCUUUACAAAUCACGAGACAUAACAGAACGGCUCCCAUUUCCAAAGAACACAUCCCUCCCGCAUCAUAGUCUGCUCAGAUGGUUAUAGACCAACAGCCAAAUAGUAGAAGAAUCAACUUGUCGGCAUAUCACAG